GAUGAACGCUGGCGGCGUGCUUAACACAUGCAAGUCGAACGGAAAGGCCCAAGCUUGCUUGGGUACUCGAGUGGCGAACGGGUGAGUAACACGUGGGUGAUCUGCCCUGCACUUCGGGAUAAGCCUGGGAAACUGGGUCUAAUACCGGAUAGGACCACUUCUUGGAUGUUGUGGUGGAAAGUUUUUUCGGUGUGGGAUGAGCUCGCGGCCUAUCAGCUUGUUGGUGGGGUAAUGGCCUACCAAGGCGUCGACGGGUAGCCGGCCUGAGAGGGUGUACGGCCACAUUGGGACUGAGAUACGGCCCAGACUCCUACGGGAGGCAGCAGUGGGGAAUAUUGCACAAUGGGCGCAAGCCUGAUGCAGCGACGCCGCGUGGGGGAUGACGGCCUUCGGGUUGUAAACUCCUUUCGCUAGGGACGAAGCGUUUUGUGACGGUACCUGGAGAAGAAGCACCGGCGAACUACGU
rnacentral:rRNA from 1 species